AAUAAAAAUAAAAAUCAUCUUCAUCAAUCGUUCAUUUCGGGCAGGGAUAUAGUCGAGGUAUAAUCUUUCUUCUCUUCUCUACGAAUAAAGGAAAACAAGAAAGUUAAGGUGUAGGGUUUUGAUUUUUGUGUGUUUUCUAAUUCAUGAAUUGGACAAAUCCAUAUAUAACUGUGUUUCGUGUAGUUAUUGUGUACAGAAAAACAAAAUUGACAUCUGGGGUUAGCAAAGAUUUAGACGGUUGUUUUUAUCGGUUUAUCAAUUGAUUUCUUCAAUUAAUUUAUUCAACUACGUGUUUGAUUGAUUUUUCUUAACAAUCUAUUUGGAGUUGGGCUUAUUGAAGGAUUUGCGUGUUAAUGAUUAAUUACAGUUCACACCAUACUUGGUGUUCUAGUUUGUCGGUUUUUGUCAGUAUGAGAGGUCGACAAUUGAGAUUCCAUUCCAUGAAUUUUACAGAAAACCAGACAUUAGUCUUCAAGUUCAGCCGCAAAAAAAAAGCCUUCAAGCCAAAGCUCCGAGAAUCCUUCGGUUUAUCUUUCCCUUGUCUUCGAUUUUCUUCAAAGGGGUAAGGACUCUAGUCUUUACUGAAUCAAUGAUAAAUAAUAAGAUAUGUUUAUGUGUUGAAUUGAUUUAUAUGUUUAGGAAUCGAAUUUAGGGAUCUAGGUCAAGAAAUAUAGAUUUCAAUGAACCCUAGUUCAAAAUUCAGAUUCGUAGCCCCAUCUUCCAGUGCAUGUUUCAUCAAUGAUUUAUUUUAUGAAAAUUAUGAAAUUAAAUGUGCAUGCAGAUGUUUCUGUUAACUUCGUUUUGAUAUAUGGUAUGCGUAAAUAAGAAUUAUAUUGGUCAAGUUAUGAACCAUUUUCCGAAACUGCACAAUUUCUGAGUCAUCUAUGAAUUAUGUGUUAAAUUAGAUUUUAUCUUAUUUUGAUUCAUGAGAUUCUAAUUGGAUAUGAUUAUAGACUUAUAAAUCUGAUUCUCAACGAAAUUUCAUGGUGUUUGGUUGAAAGAAUGAUUUAUUUGGUAUUUUU
rnacentral:lncRNA from 1 species